rnacentral:lncRNA from 10 species
CCCGGGGAGCCCCGGGGCGGGAAUCAGCGGGGACCCUGCACGUCCCAGGGCAGGGGGAACGGGGAAGGUGUCCCCGCCAGCCUGGUGCGCGGAGCCUGGCUCCUCGGCGCGCCUGAGCAGCGGCCCUGGGAGGGAGAGGCGUCGCGUUGCAAGAAAGCUGUUGUGUCCUUGGAAGUCUUACAACUCCACAGACCACGUACUUCCUGGGCCAAAGAGCACUCCUAGUCUUUGGGGGGAUAGAAACUGAGAGAAGCAAAGAGAGACCUCCACCAUUCCAAGGUGGGUGAGCCGAGCAGCAGUAGUGAUGCCAGGCAGGCGAGCCCCAAAGUGCAGCUUAGCGCCUGGGUUCUUGGCUUUGCCCAGGAAAGAAUUCAAGGGCAAGCCAGAGGUAGAAGGAAAACGGCUUUAUUGAAGAGGCCGUGUUACAGCUCCGUGACCGCUCCCGCAGAGCAGGGCUACCCCAUAGACAGAGAGUAGCAGCUCAGGGCAGUUUUGCAGUCGUAUUUAUACCUACUUUAAAUUGCAUGCAGAUUAAGGGGCGGUUCAUGCAGAAACUUCUCGGGAAGGGGUAGUAAUCAUUGGGUCGUUGCCAUGGAAAGGGG